rnacentral:rRNA from 1 species
CUUGAACACUGGCGGAAUGCUUUACACAUGCAAGUCGAACGGUAGAGGGGGCAACCCCUCGAGAGUGGCGAACGGGUGAGUAAUAUAUCGGAACGUGCCCAGUCGGGGGGGAUAACGUAGCGAAAGUUACGCUAAUACCGCAUACGAUCUAAGGAUGAAAGCGGGGGAUCGCAAGACCUCGCGCGAUUGGAGCGGCCGAUAUCAGAUUAGGUAGUUGGUGGGGUAAAGGCCCACCAAGCCAACGAUCUGUAGCUGGUCUGAGAGGACGACCAGCCACACUGGAACUGAGACACGGUCCAGACUCCUACGGGAGGCAGCAGUGGGGAAUUUUGGACAAUGGACGCAAGUCUGAUCCAGCCAUUCCGCGUGCAGGAUGAAGGCCCUCGGGUUGUAAACUGCUUUUGUACGGAACGAAAAGGUCUCUCUUAAUACGGGGGACUCAUGACGGUACCGUAAGAAUAAGCACCGGCUAACUACGUGCCAGCCGCCGCCGUAACAC